CAAAACAGUAUCACUAGACACAAAACAGGCCCCUCUCCCCCCAGACUACAUCCUCUGCACAGAUACAGUCACGCAUGCAUGCAUGAAUGCAACGUGCACACACACACAUUACAUUACAUUACAUUACAGGCAUUUAGCAGACGCUCUUAUCCAGAGCGACGUACAACAAGUGCAUUAGUUCAAGGUGCAGAGGUGAUAUUAAUGAUAUUGCUAUACAGAAGACACAAAUAUGGGCAUUUUGGGUUAGCCAGAAAGUUGGAGCUAGAGCAAGGGUGUCCUGUCUUAUCUGAAAAGGGCCAGUGUGGGUACAGGCUUUUGUUUUAGCCCAGCAAGAAGACACCUGAUUCUACUUAUCAAGGUCAUGAUUGAAGACCAUGAUUAGUUAAUUAGUUCAAUCAGGUCUUGCAGCUAAAAUAAAAACCAGCAACCACACCGGCCCUUUUUAAAUAAGAUUUGACACCCCGGAGCUAGAGUCAGAUCAGAGAAGAGAUGUAUAACUCCCGCACCCCGAAAGCAUGCAUUUCUAUAUUGUUCAGAAAGGAGAUACACUUUGUGAGAUUAAUUUCCUGUAAUCUGGUUUGUCCUGGACUGUUUUAUCCAGCAUUUCAUCAUCGGUCAGUGAGUGGGCUCAGAUUGACACAUCCAAAUGGAACCUCACCUACAGGAGACUGUGAUUCAAAAGGUGAAAUAACUGACUGGUUUGGUUUGGAGACCACAUCCAUUGAGCCUAAACAGAUUUAUCCCACACCAAUGUGUCAACCUAGUCAGACUCAGACUAUCAUGAGUUUUAUGAGUCUGAUGAGUGAGUCUGUGCUCCAGAAAAUUUAGCUGGUUAAAAUACAGUAAAGAAAAAAUAAUCAUGGAUGGACCUGAGUGUUGAUGCUCCUUUGUCUCAGUGUAGGAUCUGUAUGAAUUUUAAAUGUUCUUGUUUUGCUGAAGUGCUCAAUAAAGAAUAGAUGUGUGCAAA